GCCCCUGUAGUUCAGUGGCCAAGAAUGCAGCCCUCUCACGGCUGUGACCCGAGUUCGAAUCUCGGCGGGGGCG
rnacentral:tRNA from 1 species